CCUACGGGGGGCAGCAGUGGGGAAUAUUGGGCAAUGGGCGCAAGCCUGACCCAGCAACGCCGCGUGAAGGAUGAAGGCUUUAGGGUUGUAAACUUCUUUUGUCAGGGACGAGUAGAAGACGGUACCUGGCGUAUAAUCCACGGCUAACUACGUGCGAGCAGCCGCGGUAAUACGUAGGUGGCAAGCUUUAUCCGGAUUUACUGCGUGGAACGGGCGUGUAGCCGGGUUAACAAGUCAGCUGUGAAAGCCUGCGGCUUAACCGUAGAACUGUAUUGGAAACUGUUUGUCUGGAGUACUGGAGAGGCAGACGGAAUUCGUAGUGUAGCGGUGAAAUGCGUAGAUAUUAGGAGGAACACCAGUGGCGAAGGCGGUCUGCUGGACAGCAACUGACGGUGAUGCGCGAAAGCGUGGGGAGCAAACAGGAUUAGAUACCCUGGUAGUC
rnacentral:rRNA from 1 species